AUGCCAGCCAGAGCUCAUGCC
rnacentral:misc_RNA from 1 species